UAUAAUUUAAGCGUGAGAUACGGGCCAACGGAAAUCCGUAUUUUUUCAAUAUUCGGAUUAAACUAUCCACGGAAAUAUCGUCAAGAGCCAAGAGAUGAGAUGAUGGAACCCGUGGAUAUAAUGGAAAGGCCAUACCAGCAUGCGCAAAAAUUGGAAGAGAAAUCGAAGAAACUGGAAGAGAUUGCGAAUUCAAAAUUCAAGAAAGAACCACCGAAAAAAAGCGAAUGCUGCCAAUGCCAAAUUUGCUAGCACCCGGCCUUGUUCAUAUACUCUUGUACAUAAACAUCAAAUCAACAUUUCCAAACAAUCAACGCAAUUUAAAAACCGUAGAAUGAUCAGAAAAUUCAAAAUGAAGAUUCAGAAAAUCGUGUGUUGAAUAAAUAAAAUCUGGAUUGAAGUCUCCGUAGAUACGCAAAGUGCUUACAGACAGUAACCAGAAAUCAACUUAUCUUGUGGUUGGAUAAUUUUCAGCAGGAUCGAAAUUCAAUUUAAGUAUUCAGACAUU